rnacentral:rRNA from 1 species
UACAGAGGUCCCAAGCGUUGUUCGGAUUUACUGGGCGUAAAGGGUGCUUAGGUGGCGAGGUAAGUCGGAUGUGAAAUCUCCAGGCUCAACCUGGAAAUGGCAUUGGAAACUACCUUGCUAGAGGAUCGGAGGGGGGACUGGAAUACUUGGUGUAGCAGUGAAAUGCGUAGAUAUCAAGUGGAACACCAGUGGCGAAGGCGAGUCCCUGGACGAUUCCUGACGCUGAGGCACGAAAGCUAGGGGAGCAAACAGG